UAAUAGAGCACACUAUUACAUGUGGUUUACGGGGACUCUCCUUAGACGUCAUGGUUUUUAUACUAUACAAACUGUAUAUUCUCUCCUCCACUAACACUACACUCUUAAAACAGAUGUGUUAAAAACAACACAACCUAUGUUAUAUUUUAACACACCUGUGUGUCUAGUUAAGGACAACACAUUUUGUGUUACUUUUAACUCAACCAGUAUGUUAUUUUUUCUUAAAGGUGCUAAAGAGGAUGUUUUGUUUUAUACAUUUUUGCAAUAUUACUUCACUCUCAGAAAUAAAGGUACAGUGAGGGUACAAUUAAGUACUUUAAGGUACAAAUUUCACAAAUGUGCCAGCAAAGGAACAAACAUGUAUCCAGCUGAGUACCAAAAAGUACUUUUCCAAAGAAAAGGGGUACACAAUGAAAUAUGCAUGGUGAAAGGUACAUAUAUGUACCCUUUGAAAAGGUACAUUGUCAUAUAAAGUAAUAGUUAAGGUACAACAUUCACAAAUGUACCAUUAAAGGUCCUAUCGUGUUCCCAUGGGGUACUUAGAAGUACCUUUUGGGUACACAUCCUGUAGGGUACAAAAAAGUACCUUAUUCAAGUCAAAGGGUACACUUCCUGUGGGGUACUAAGAAGUACUUUUCAAGUUACAGGGUACACAAUCCUCUGGGGUAGCAGCUACUUAUGCGUGCCUUUUCUAAGACUGAUAGAGCCUUUGUCAUAAUUUGUAAAUGUGGUAUGCCUUGGACAGAUUGACACAAUAAAUGUGUUAUCUCCUGGGCGGGCAGUUUGUGUUUAUGAAAAUAAAAACAAUACAUAUAUUUCAUAUGGUAGCACAUAAAAAGCUCUAUAAAUAAUGAAUAAUCAUUUAUAAAAAUAAAUAUACAUUAUAUAUAUUUCAAUUUAUUACAAUGUUAACGGCUGUUUUUUGUCGGCCAAUCACGUCACGCCUCUCGUCUUUUCAAACUGCGGCGGAUCGCGCUCUUUUCACUCCGGCCUGGUUUGAGGGGAAUCGCGAUGCUUUGGACCGUUCCGUAAGUUACGGUAGAUAAUACUUGUUAAAAUGCGUAGUGCUGAAAAAAACGAUCAUAGAAAUAGUUAGCUAACAAAUAUGUUGUUAAUUAACGUUAGUUGGAGAGUGGCGACGUACGUCGAGCAGUGUAGCGUUAGUGAAGUGUUAGCCAGGCAGAGCGCACGACAAGCUGCCCAGCACACCAGAUCAUUAUAAACAACUAAAAGAGUGCAUUAUAAGUGAAGGAUUUAACGUGGAGCGUUUGCUUUGCUGCAUCAGGACGUUGUCAAGAAUUUGAUUCGAUGUUGACGGAGAUGAAGGUUUGACCGAUUUCACGUCAAGCACAGGAGCCCUACCACAAAUGCUGGAGAGUGCCGUCAAAUCCAGCAGUGAAGAUGAACAUCUAAGGGGACUCCCACAAUGGCUUGCUGCUCAGAUAUGCUGUGUGUAUGGAAAGACUGAGGAGUUGAAAGCUGAUUCUACCCUGGAAAGGAGUAAUUUUCUCUUUUAGAGGGGAUGGAAGACCAAGCAGAUACUAUAUUAAAAAGUGCUACACAAUGAUGGUUGUUCUUGCAUAUCUUCUGCCACCGUUGCCUGGAAGUCGAUGCAAUGUUAAAUCUGAAAUCUUCAUUUCUUUCAAUUUAAUUUUGUACCGCGUGGAGCCACUAUUGCAUCCCUCUGCAGCAGUUUUGAGACCGCAUCAAAGACCAGACCACAGCCGAUCUACAUUGGAAGUUUGAAGAGCACAACAUGACAGUACAUCAUUACGAGGAUUGACAGAGUAACCAUUCCUGUGGAUGAGGGCCUGAUGUGCUGUGGACAAUAUAUUCUAGGUGUGAAACUUGUCCUGUCCACCACAGAUUAGUUUGGUCUUUUCUUUCUAAGACUGGAGCAUCUAAUAUUGAAACACCACAUUCUCUUCUUUUUAAAACUGACAUCGUUUCGCUAGAAAACAACCUCUUCUUCAGCUGUGAUUGCGUACAGCCCGUUUAAACACUUCAAAGACUUUUAAAACUGCAUUGAUUUGGACUUAAAAACAAUGGUAACCAAUGAACUCCAUUGUUAGAAGAAAAAUCCAGAAAUGUUUUCCUCAAAAAACAAAAUUUCUCUCCCACUGAGGAAAGAAAGACAUGGAUAUCUUGGAUGGCAUUGGGUGAGUAAAUUAUUAGGAAAUUUUCUUUUUGGGGUGAACUAAUCCUUUAAGCAUACAAUGAACACUCACAGUAGCUUUUAGUCAAUAUAAAGCGUUAUGUUAUCUUAUGUUAUGUUCUUACACUGCAGUAAGUAAUGCAUUCAUAAAGUGAUUCUCUAUUAAAGUUGUUUAAAUGUGAAAAACUUUGUUUAUUAAAGUUUAUUGCAAACGAA